rnacentral:rRNA from 1 species
GGUGGCGAGUGGCGAACGGGUGAGUAAUGUAUCGGAACGUACCUUUCAGUGGGGGAUAACGUAGCGAAAGUUACGCUAAUACCGCAUAUUCUGUGAGCAGGAAAGCAGGGGAUCGCAAGACCUUGCGCUGAUUGAGCGGCCGAUAUCAGAUUAGCUAGUUGGUGAGGUAAAGGCUCACCAAGGCGACGAUCUGUAGCGGGUCUGAGAGGAUGAUCCGCCACACUGGAACUGAGACACGGUCCAGACUCCUACGGGAGGCAGCAGUGGGGAAUUUUGGACAAUGGGCGCAAGCCUGAUCCAGCCAUGCCGCGUGAGUGAAGAAGGCCUUCGGGUUGUAAAGCUCUUUCAGCCGGGAAGAAAACGCAUGGGUUAAUACCCUGUGUGGAUGACGGUACCGGAAUAAGAAGCACCGGCUAACUACGUGCCGGCAGCCGCGGUAAUACGUAGGGUGCGAGCGUUAAUCGGAAUUACUGGGCGUAAAGCGUGCGCAGGCGGUUUGUUAAGAUAGGCGUGAAAUCCCCGGGCUCAACCUGGGAACUGCGUUUAUGACUGGCAGGCUAGAGUAUGGCAGAGGGGGGUGGAAUUCCACGUGUAGCAGUGAAAUGCGUAGAGAUGUGGAGGAACACCGAUGGCGAAGGCAGCCCCCUGGGCCAAUACUGACGCUCAUGCACGAAAGCGUGGGUAGCAAACAGGAUUAGAUACCCUGGUAGUCCACGCCCUAAACGAUGUCAACUAGGUGUUGGGAGGGUAAAACCUUUUAGUACCGGAGCUAACGCGUGAAGUUGACCGCCUGGGGAGUACGGCCGCAAGGUUAAAACUCAAAGGAAUUGACGGGGACCCGCACAAGCGGUGGAUGAUGUGGAUUAAUUCGAUGCAACGCGAAAAACCUUACCUACCCUUGACAUGUCCAGAAGCUCUUAGAGAUUUGAGUGUGCCCGAAAGGGAGCUGGAACACAGGUGCUGCAUGGCUGUCGUCAGCUCGUGUCGUGAGAUGUUGGGUUAAGUCCCGCAACGAGCGCAACCCUUGUCGUUAAUUGCCAUCAUUCAGUUGGGCACUUUAACGAGACUGCCGGUGACAAACCGGAGGAAGGUGGGGAUGACGUCAAGUCCUCAUGGCCCUUAUGGGUAGGGCUUCACACGUCAUACAAUGGUCGGUACAAAGGGUUGCCAACCCGCGAGGGGGAGCUAAUCCCAGAAAGCCGAUCGUAGUCCGGAUCGCAGGCUGCAACUCGCCUGCGUGAAGUCGGAAUCGCUAGUAAUCGUGGAUCAGCAUGUCACGGUGAAUACGUUCCCGGGUCUUGUACACACCGCCCGUCACACCAUGGGAGCGG